UGGAGAGAAAGGCAGUA
rnacentral:miRNA from 1 species